UACAACUUUCANCAACGGAUCUCUUGGCUCUCGCAUCGAUGAAGAACGCAGCGAAAUGCGAUAAGUAAUGUGAAUUGCAGAAUUCAGUGAAUCAUCGAAUCUUUGAACGCACCUUGCGCUCCUUGGUAUUCCGAGGAGCAUGCCUGUUUGAGUGUCAUU
rnacentral:rRNA from 1 species